rnacentral:lncRNA from 1 species
CAUAAGAACAUCAGCAACGCAAGUUAUAAAGAGGAGAACUUAAUAUUUUUUAGAAUAAAAUUAAAUCAAAACUAGUCAAUAAUUCAAGAAUCGAUUCUUAUUUAAGACUUUUAAUUGGUUAAUAAGCAUCGAUUCUUAAGGGCUAGGUGUCUAUUCAUGAUUGGUUAGAUUUAUUGAAAAGAAAAACAACUAUUUUCUUUUAUGCGACUACGCUUCUCCUCCUUGAUCUCUCCGUCUUCACUUUGCCGCCGAUUUGGUCGCCAACCACCUAAUUUCCAUCGCCGAUUUGGUCGCCAACCUCUGUCUGCCAACCUGCAUCGCCAACCUCCGCCGCCGAUUUGGUUUGAUUAAGUGUUUCUCCUCUGCUUCUCCUCAAUCCUACAGAGUUUUCUGAAUAUAGCCUUUAACUCAAUAAGCUUGGUGUGUGUCCCCUUUAUGGAUUACGAUAAGCAUCUCACAGUUUCCUCCGCCUUCCUCUCCAUCUCUGGCGUCUUUUUCGCGAUCGCUGGUUUCUUCAUCUCCAUCUCCGGCGCAGAAAAUGGACUUCUAUUAGAAUUUUUUAGGAAUCCCACUAUCCCAGAGGUUCUUGCAUUGGAGAACAGAAUCCUACUCUUUUUUAAUAGAGGUACUUAACUUAAAUUUAACAUUAUUAUAUUGUUAAGCAUCUCUAAUAGGGUACUACUAUUGCUGAUGUUCUAAGCACCAAUUCUUAUGGGCUACGUGGCAUGAGUUAAUACACAGAGAGGAAAAGCUGCAUUGACAAAAAAAAAUUUUCAUUUCUCUUCUUCUCCUCGUUUUGUUCGAUGAAAUCACCGAGUUGCAUCGAUCUGAUCCUGCUGGUGCCACCUUCGUGAUUAUUCUUGCUGCCGGCACUGAAUUUCUGUCGUUUCCGUUUUCUUCCCAACAUCACCGUCUCGCCUAACUUGCUCGAGUGACUCGCUUCCAAUCCUUCCUUCGCCGCCUCCGCCUUAUAAACCGAAUUGGGGUCUGGAUUAUUAUCAUCUGAAACAUCACGAGUUGGACUCGGUUUGUCUCCGCCAACUCUUUUAGGAUCUGGAUUUUUUUUUAAGAACCACAUUAGGAUUUUUCCAUUGGAAACAGCAUUAUCUUAGUUUUUUAAUUAAAGUUCUUAAGAUCCAGUUAAUAAUAUUUUAUUGCUUAAGUACUCCAUUAGGAGUGCUUGCAUUGCUGAUCCUUUUAGGUCUUAGGCUCUCACCCUCGAUUUUCCAUCCCAUCCUAUCUUCUUUUCCUUGCAUUGGAAGCUGUGCCAAACCUGACAUAUAUUGGGCUUUUUUUUUAUCGGCAAACUAUAUUAUUAACAACUGUGAAUACAAAGUUUACAUUACAUACCAAGAUAUUUUAUAGCUUUGAACUUGCUCUCUAGCUAUCUUAGCAAGCCUAUCAACUUCCCAUACAACAUUACGAUUAACAUACAUAAAUGAACAUCUCAUACCCCUACAUGAUAUCUUAACAAUGUCUUUGACUUCUAUUGAUAUAUCUGGGUGACACCAAUAUUGUCUCUUUCUCGAGUUGUGCAUUGCAUUAACGCUCCUAAAAAGAACAUUGUUGUCCCCAACAAACAAGACUUCUUCAUAAGCUAGUAUUCUCAUUUCUUGAAUUGCCCUUAAUAAUGCUCUUGCUUCAGCUGCUAAUGGAGAUACUACGUACUGGUUCAAUUGAUGAGCUGCCUUGCAUAAUUUUUUCUCCAUUGAUACGGUAUAAGGACCAAGCAAUACCUGCAUUCACAGCAGAUGAUGUCCAUGAUGCAUCUACAUAUCAGCAAUAUCUAUUACUUAGCUGAUAGCCAUCAUGAGCAUUCUCCAAAUGAUGGUUCUGUCGACGAUGACAGUUAUUGGAUUGAUUCUCUUCAUUCCAUGUUUGGACAAAUCCCAUAAGUGAUAAUCCAUUAAUGCUUUAUUGAUAACCUGAGGAAUGAAUUCUCUCUUGUUUUCAAAAACAAGUUUAUUCCUCAUUUUCCAGAUUCUCCAAGCAAUAUACGAUAUUAAACCAUAAUUUUCCUGUAUGUGGGCUAGAAGCAAAAUAUUUUUUUUUUCUGGGCCAAUAUAUAUCAAUAUUCAAAGAAACCAUGAAAAAUAAAAACAUGUACUAAUACUACGAAAGUACGAAAGAUUCCAACUCAUGACCUAAUGUGAUUAAAGUUCUGCUCUUUCCAUACCAAAUCUAAUGAAGUUUGGCCGGUAAUAUUCAGAAACUCGUGAAGGCCGGAAGCAGCUGUUUGGAAGCAUUCUAUCUAUGCUUCGCCCUCGUGAG